rnacentral:lncRNA from 1 species
AAAAAAUUAUUCUGUUUUACUAUAUAUAUACUAAUAAAUACAGAUAUAUGUAUAUUCUUCUUUACUAUAAUUUUUUUUAUUCUAUUUUACUAGAUAUUUUUGUUUUGUUUUGUUAUAUACACUGAUAAAAGUAUAUACUGUAUAUACUAAUACAAAAAAACCAUAUUAUAUACUCAUAAAAAUAUAUGAUAAAAAACUAAAACAAAAUUAAUACCAUAUUAUACUACCUAAAAAUUAGAAAUAAUAAAUUUUACCCUAACAUUAUAAAAAAAAAAU